rnacentral:rRNA from 1 species
AGGAUUAACGCUGGCGGCGUGCCUAAUACAUGCAAGUCGAAUGGUAGCAAUACCAUGGCGAACGGGUGAGUAACACGUAGGUAACCCUGUCUUUAAGCCGAGGAUAACCAUUGGAAACGAUGGAUAAUACUGGAUAGGACAUUUGAAGGCAUCUUUAGAUGUUUAAAGAUUUAUUACUUAGAGAGGGGCCUGCGGCGCAUUAGCUAGUUGGUGAGGUGAAGGCUUACCAAGGCGAUGAUGCGUAGCCGGACUGAGAGGUUGAACGGCCACAAUGGAACUGAGAACGGUCCAUACUCCUACGGGAGGCAGCAGUAGGGAAUUUUCGGCAAUGGGGGAAACCCUGACCGAGCAAUGCCGCGUGAAUGAAGAAAUUCUUCGGAAUGUAAAAUUCUGUUAUUAGGGACGAAAGGUAUAUAAAGGAAAUGGUAUAUAAUUGACGGUACCUAAUUAGAAAGCCCCGGCUAACCAUGUGCCAGCAGCGGC